UUUUUUUAUUGUGGUAGCCCACAAAAUAUUGGGACAUAUAAAAAAAGACAAUUCUGUUGCGCAGAGUAAUUGCUGACAUUAUAGUUGCGCAGGCACUUUGUUGACUCUAGAGAACCUCGGGCCAAUUGCAUGCGGAUGUCAUCCAUAUCAACUUUCAAUGCAACAUUUCUGCACCUACCCUGGUGACCAUGGGUAAUGGGGAAUCAGGGUUCCAUUCCCUACAGAGACCCUGUGAAACGGCUACCACAUGCAAGGAAGGCAGCAGGCGCGAAAAUGACCCACUCCCGACGCGGGAAGGUAGUGACGACAAAUAACAAUACAGGACUCUUUAGAGGCCCUGUAAUUGUAAUGAGUCCACUUGAAAUCCUUUAACUCUGACCAAUUGGAGGGAAGUCUGGUGCAGAGCCACUGACCCAUGCAUGCUGCAGCUGAAACUCCACUA